rnacentral:tRNA from 1 species
UUCGGAUAGCUCAGCUGGUAGAGCAGAGGACUGAAAUCCCGU